rnacentral:lncRNA from 1 species
CCAAGAGGCAAUGGGCAAUUUCUGCGCUGUCUUUGGAGCAACAUUCUCAAGGCCAGGCCACUGGACAGAACUGGAAGGUGGAUCAUUCGGGGACUUCUUAUGGGAGAACCUUUGUGAGGCAGUCAGUCGAUCAACAGAUGCUUUCCGAGCGCCUCUAGGGUGCGGUGGAACGCGGCAAUCUGGAAGGACGCUUCAGAACCGGUUGGCAAAUCUGUGUGCAGCUGAGGCCGCCCAAAGAGGGCCAUGGAGCGGCAGCUUCAGCAUCGUGUGGCCACCUGCUCUCACACAUCUGCAUUUGGCUGCACAGCAGGACCUUGCAACUGAGUUUAGGGGCCAGAAAUGGGGGAGGCAGAGUUUCCAAGUGGCCAACCCACUGUUAUCUUUUCAAUAAAAUUGGGCG